AGGUCACAAAGAGUUAAAUCCUGUUUGAUUUCUUUUAGUUGAAAACGUUUAAAAAUGGGGUUUGAUGCAUUUAGAAAAAAUGGAGGACCCACCUACUAUGAUGCUGUCCACAUUCCUUGGGAGACAGAUCUAGUGACGUCGGGGCUCAUAUUUAGCUUCGUCAUAUUGGCGUUUUCUUUCUACAUCAUAUUGCCAGGAAUGGCAGGAAAAGAAAAAUUGUUCUCAUUUAUAAGAAUCACGCUCAGUUUAUUUAUUGGAGCAGUAAUAUUGGGUAAG
rnacentral:sRNA from 1 species